rnacentral:rRNA from 1 species
UACGGAGGGUGCAAGCGUUAUCCGGAUUUACUGGGUUUAAAGGGUGCGUAGGUGGUCUAGUAAGUCAGCGGUGAAAGCCCAGAGCUUAACUCUGGAAUUGCCAUUGAUACUGCUAGGCUUGAGUACAGUUGAGGUGGGCGGAAUAUGUCAUGUAGCGGUGAAAUGCUUAGAUAUGACAUAGAACACCAAUUGCGAAGGCAGCUCGCUACACGAAUAUUGACUCUGAGGCACGAAAGCGUGGGGAGCAAAAGGG